UAAGUAUCAGUUUUAGAAACGUAACCUUGUCGAGGUUAAGAUUUAUUACUUAA
rnacentral:tRNA from 1 species